rnacentral:rRNA from 2 species
ACUCAAAGGAAUUGACGGGGGCCCGCACAAGCGGAGGAACAUGUGGUUUAAUUCGAUGAUACGCGAGGAACCUUACCCGGGCUUGAAAUGCAUUCGACUGGGUCGGAAACGGCCUUUCCCUUCGGGGCGGAUGCGUAGGUGCUGCAUGGUUGUCGUCAGCUCGUGCCGUGAGGUGUCGGCUUAAGUGCCAUAACGAGCGCAACCCCUGUCGUCAGUUGCCAUCGGUAUAAGCCGGGGACUCUGGCGAGACUGCCAUCGUAAGAUGCGAGGAAGGUGGGGAUGACGUCAAAUCAGCACGGCCCUUAUGUCCGGGGCGACACACGUGUUACAAUGGGCGGUACAGCGGGAAGCUACCCGGCGACGGGGAGCCGAUCCCGAAAUCCGCUCACAGUUCGGAUCGGAGUCUGCAACUCGACUCCGUGAAGUCGGAUUCGCUAGUAAUCGCGCAUCAGCCACGGCGCGGUGAAUACGUUCCCGGGCCUUGUACACACCGCCCGU